rnacentral:rRNA from 1 species
UGGGGAAUAUUGCACAAUGGGCGCAAGCCUGAUGCAGCCAUGCCGCGUGUAUGAAGAAGGCCUUCGGGUUGUAAAGUACUUUCAGCGGGGAGGAAGGCGAUAAGGUUAAUAACCUUGUCGAUUGACGUUACCCGCAGAAGAAGCACCGGCUAACUCCGUGCCAGCAGCCGCGGUAAUACGGAGGGUGCAAGCGUUAAUCGGAAUUACUGGGCGUAAAGCGCACGCAGGCGGUUUGUCAAGUCGGAGGUGAAAUCCCCGGGCUCAACCUGGGAACUGCAUUCGAAACUGGCAGGCUAGAGUCUUGUAGAGGGGGGUAGAAUUCCAGGUGUAGCGGUGAAAUGCGUAGAGAUCUGGAGGAAUACCGGUGGCGAAGGCGGCCCCCUGGACAAAGACUGACGCUCAGGUGCGAAAGCGUGGGGAGCAAACA